AGGAAGUUAGUCUCUAAGCAAGACAGCUGAUUUCGACUCAGCAAACCAUAGGCCUCCCCUAUGACCCUCUU
rnacentral:tRNA from 1 species